CUUGCAUCAUAAGGAAUGGUUGAAUUAUAAAUAAUGUUCCAAUUAAAACCUUCAUUCUGUGAACUAUUGAACUCAUUAUGUAAUGUGAUAAUUUUGUGACCUUCAAACACACAGAUGGUUCCAGGAAACAGAUUAGAUAGAGGUUGGCCAACAGUGCCAACAGUCAGAUGUCUUGGCAACUUUGACUUUAUUUUAACUCAUAAAACAUGUAUCCAUAAAAAUAAAAGGAUAGAAAGGGAGAUGUACAAACUAAAAGCAUGAUGACUGAGAAAUACGUGUAAUAUUGAUGAUUUCUAUCAAUCAUCCAAACAACAAACGCAUUAUGAACCGAAGACAGUUAAUACAAUUUUACAUAGAUAACCAAUGACUUACAUGCUGUCCUUGGUAUACUUUCUCUAUUGCCUCACUAGCAGCACUAGCUUUGAAGAUAACAUCACUUGACGUACUUGAUUCAACAUCAAAUCCUGAAGCACGUCAUCUUGGCAGGCCUCCAUCUAAAACCCAAAUUCUGUCAUGACCAAAAACUUGGAACAUCCUG
rnacentral:lncRNA from 1 species